rnacentral:rRNA from 1 species
AACGAACGCUGGCGGCAUGCCUAACGCAUGCAAGUCGAACGAGACCUUCGGGUCUAGUGGCGCACGGGUGCGUAACGCGUGGGAACCUGCCCUUAGGUUCGGAAUAACUCCCCGAAAGGGGUGCUAAUACCGGAUAAUGUCUUCGGACCAAAGAUUUAUCGCCUUUGGAUGGGCCCGCGUUGGAUUAGCUAGUUGGUAGGGUAAAAGCCUACCAAGGCGACGAUCCAUAGCUGGUCUGAGAGGAUGAUCAGCCACACUGGGACUGAGACACGGCCCAGACUCCUACGGGAGGCAGCAGUCGGGAAUAUUGGACAAUGGGCGAAAGCCUGAUCCAGCAAUGCCGCGUGAGUGAUGAAGGCCUUAGGGUUGUAAAGCUCUUUUACCCGGGAUGAUAAUGACAGUACCGGGAGAAUAAGCUCCGGCUAACUCCGUG